rnacentral:rRNA from 1 species
AUUCCGGUUGAUCCUGCCGGAGGUCAUUGCUAUCGGAGUCCGAUUUAGCCAUGCUAGUUGUACGAGUUGAGACUCGUAGCGGAAAGCUCAGUAACACGUGGUCAAGCUACCCUGUAGCGACGGAUAACCUCGGGAAACUGAGGCUAAUACGUCAUAACGCUCGAUAUCUGGAGUGAUUCGAGUCGGAAACGCCUUUGGUGCUACAGGAUGCGACUGCGGUCGAUUAGGUAGACGGUGGGGUAAC